UUUCCGUAGGUGAACCUGCGGAAGGAUCAUUAUUGUGUAACCGAGGUGCGAGGGCUGUCGCUGACCCGAAAGGUCGUGCACGCCCGAGUGCCCUCACACACAUUCAUCUCACCCCUCUGUGCACCACCUCGUGGGUCCCCCUUUGGCUUGUUCGGAGGGGGGCUUACGUUUUCACACAAACUUUGUAUGCAGUGUAGAAUGUAUUUUUUGUUUUUGCGAUCACGCAAUCAAUACAACUUUCAACAACGGAUCUCUUGGCUCUC
rnacentral:misc_RNA from 1 species